rnacentral:rRNA from 1 species
UGGGGAAUUUUGGACAAUGGGCGAAAGCCUGAUCCAGCAAUGCCGCGUGUGUGAAGAAGGCCUUCGGGUUGUAAAGCACUUUUGUCCGGAAAGAAAUCCUUGGCUCUAAUACAGUCGGGGGAUGACGGUACCGGAAGAAUAAGCACCGGCUAACUACGUGCCAGCAGCCGCGGUAAUACGUAGGGUGCAAGCGUUAAUCGGAAUUACUGGGCGUAAAGCGUGCGCAGGCGGUUUGCUAAGACCGAUGUGAAAUCCCCGGGCUCAACCUGGGAACUGCAUUGGUGACUGGCAGGCUAGAGUAUGGCAGAGGGGGGUAGAAUUCCACGUGUAGCAGUGAAAUGCGUAGAGAUGUGGAGGAAUACCGAUGGCGAAGGCAGCCCCCUGGCCAAGUACUGACGCUCAUGCACGAAAGCGUGGGGAGCAAACAGGAUUAGAUACCCUGGUAGUCCACGCCCUAAACGAUGUCAACUAGUUGUUGGGGAUUCAUUUCCUUAGUAACGUAGCUAACGCGUGAAGUUGACCGCCUGGGGAGUACGGUCGCAAGAUUAAAACUCAAAUGAAUUGACGGGGUCAUAGCUGUUUCCU